AUUUUGGGCUGCAGAGAAUUUUAAUGGGUGCAACUUUUCGCCACUUCAAAGCGCUUUGAUUCCUUAUCUUCUUCCCGGUCCCGAUCCGGCCGUUUCCUCAUAUCUCACGCCUCAUUGGCUCGAAGAGAAAGAUAUUCGCCCACCAAAACAAACGGAGGAUAGAAGCAAAUCCCGGUGGGCUCGCGUGAUCUUAAUUAGUAGAAGGUUCCUCUCUUUGGGAAUAUUGGUCUUGUUUGGCUUUUUGGUGCUCACACGAAGAAGAUGAGCGAGGAAAAAGAGGUGGAAGAAGCGAAUGGAAUGAAGCGCUCUAGGCCUCCUUAAGCUGCAGGUAACGCCUACCUGUGAAAUCUUUACUGUUGUCUCUGCCACGUGUCACCGUGCGAUAAGGAUUUUUAUGUCUCUGACUAAGUUUGUUAAGUUGGAGAUCAGACUAAAGCAGAGUUUCUCAUGCCCACCUUGCUUUCUUUAGAGAGCCUACAAGAUGAAACUCCCUUAUCUUUUCUGUCACUCUCCCACAACAGUCUUGUAUCUCCUCAUAGGCUCAAUCGGCUUAUAAGCCCUUAAGAAGCCUUCCAAGAAGGAGGAGGAGCUUGGAUUUUAAGUUCCAUCAUAUGCGAAGGCUAAUUUGAAGGGAAUUUUGGAAGGUAAUCAAGAAGGCGGUGAAACAGCCUAUUUGAAGUGGAAAUGGCGGCGAGGAAAGCCACAGUCUGGACAUCAUUACUGUUAUCACUGAUGCUCUCUUUCUCACCUUUUGGAGUUAAUUCGAAUAACCAUAAGUCCAAGAUGCGCUAUCAUGAUUUUAUUGUUGACUUGUCACCAUACACUCGGCUCUGUAGAACAAAAAGCAUCCUGACUGUAAAUGGGCAAUUCCCUGGGCCAACUCUACGUGCCCGCAGAGGAGACACCAUGGUGGUCAAUGUCCAUAACAAGGCUAGGCACAAUAUAACUAUCCACUGGCAUGGAGUAAUACUGCAGGGCAACCCAUGGGCAGAUGGUGCCUCAUACAUUACUCAGUGCCCCAUCCAGAGAGGCCAUAACCAAACGUACCGGUUUAUGCUAAGCAAAGAACAAGGAACCUUUUGGUGGCACGCACACGACCAUGCUGCACGGGCCACAGUUCAUGGCGCUAUCAUCGUGUCUCCACGUCUAUUUUCAAAAUCCCAGUAUCCAUUCCCGAUACCUCACGGUUACAAGCCAAUAGUACUCGGAGAGUGGUGGAAUAGAGAUGUGAUGGAGGUGUACAAAGAGGCAGUUGAAAUGGGUGGAGAUCCUGUGCACUCUGAUGCUUAUACUAUAAAUGGACAACCUGGUUAUCUCUAUCCAUGCUCCAAGGCAGAAACCGUCAAGAUGUCGGUGGAACAAGGUAGAACUUAUCUUCUUCAGAUCGUCAAUGCGGCCAUGGAUGAGCAGCUCUUCUUCUCCAUUGCUAAGCAUCGAAUGACAUUGGUUGGGAUUGAUGGAAGCUACACUAAGGCCCUGGCAACCGACUAUAUAAUGAUCUCUCCUGGCCAGACCAUGGAUGUCUUAAUAGAAGCCAACCAAUCUCCUGGCUACUAUGUCAUGGCUGCCAGUGCUUUUGACAACGGAAUGGGGUCUAUGGGACACAUGAUGGCUAUGGACUCCAUGAGUUCUAUGGGACCUAUGGCUGACCAAACUGUGACCACAGCUGUCCUUCAUUAUACUGGCUCGUGUUGCUCUCCUCCAUCAUCCCCUAUGUUACCAUCCCUCCCUGCUUAUAAUGAUUCGCAUGCAGCCAAUAAUUUCACAAGUCAUCUGGCUAAUCAUAGAAAAAAUCUGGAUUCCUAUCUCAGGGAUGUUAAGGAGCAUCUCUUCUUCACUCUCUCGGAAAACUUGAUUAAUUGUGGUGCUAACAAGUGUAAAGGAGAGAUGGGCAUGAUGAACAAGGCCAGUAUCAACAACAUAAGCUUUGUGAAGCCCGAGGUAGAUGUGCUCCAAGCUUACUAUUAUGGGCUUCAUGGUGUUUAUGAUGAAGAUUUUCCAGGAGAGCCGCCACUAAAGUUCAACUACACUGGCAUGAACAUGAUGAACAGGAGGCUAUGGGAGCCAGAGAUGGGCACCAAGGUGAAGGUGUUGGAGUAUAAUACGCUUGUGGAGAUUGUUUUCCAAGGGACUAGUGUAGUAUCUGGUGAGAGUCAUCCAAUGCACCUUCAUGGACAUAGAUUUUAUGUCGUUGGAUGGGGGUUUGGGAAUUUUGACCCCAAGAAGGACCCUCUUCAUUACAACCUUAACAAUCCACCUCACAUGUCCACUGUCGCAGUUCCAAAGAAUGGAUGGACUGCCAUCAGAUUCAGGGCUAACAAUCCUGGUGUUUGGCUUCUGCAUUGUCACUUUGAGCAUCACCAGAGUGUAGGCAUGAGCAUGGUGUUUAUAGUAAAGAAUGGUACAGGGAAGUCCCAUGGGGCUCUUUCUCCACCUCAACACAUGCCUGCUUGCUGAAAUGUAGCAUCCUUUUCUGAAGAAUUUGGUUGAAGACUGCUUCUUUAGUUUAGAGGAUCAUUAGCUAAGUGAUUAGCCACAAUUAGUUGUUCUCAGUUGUCUUUUCUUGAUCUUCCAUGCUGCUGUUUAUAUAUAUCUAUAUCCAUAUCUAUAUAUCUAUAUAUAUCUAUCUACAUAUAUAUACACACACGCACUGUCCAAACAAUAGCCAUUUUCCUGUUUUAUCCUCAGAUACUCCUUCACAAGUUCUUGCAUCUCCCAAUACAUUUUAUGUAAAUAUUGUUUUACUUGGUUCUCAAUAAAAAUUUGGGUGGCAUAUGCCUUUCUUUCAAU